rnacentral:rRNA from 1 species
AGAGCGAACGCUGGCGGCAGGCCUAACACAUGCAAGUCGAGCGCCCCGCAAGGGGAGCGGCAGACGGGAGAGUAACACGUGGGAACGUACCCUUCAGUUCGGAACAACCCAGGGAAACUUGGGCUAAUACCGAAUACGUCCGUAAGGAGAAAGAUUUAUCGCUGAAGGAUCGGCCCGCGUCUGAUUAGCUAGUUGGUGAGGUAACGGCUCACCAAGGCUACGAUCAGUAGCUGGUCUGAGAGGAUGAUCAGCCUCACUGGGACUGAGACACGGCCCAGACUCCUACGGGAGGCAGCAGUGGGGAAUACUGGACAAUGGGCGCAAGCCUGAUCCAGCCAUGCCGCGUGGAUGAUGAAGGCCUUAGGGUUGUAAAGUCCUUUCGACGGGGAAGAUAAUGACGGUACCCGUAGAAGAAGCCCGGCUAACUUCGUGCCAGCAGCCGC